GAUGAAGAACGCAGCGAAAUGCGAUACGUAAUGUGAAUUGCAGAAUUCAGUGAAUCAUCGAAUCUUUGAACGCAUAUUGCGCUCUUUGGUAUUCCGAAGGGUAUGCUCGUUUGAGUGUCAUUGUACUCUCACACUCCCAAUUGCUUUGGAUUGGGAGCGGUGGACUUGGGUGUUGCUGCUUGACUGAGGCUCACCUGAAAUAUGUUAGUGCACCUCUUGAUUGGACAUAGUACGGCGUGAUAAGUGUCUUCGCCGGCUCCUCGCAAAGAGGGUGGCCGAUCGGGAGCUCUGUUGCUUCAAACUGUCUUCGGACAAUCUUCUGGCGACUUGACCUCAAAUCGAGUAGGACUACCCGCUGAACUUAAGCAUAUCAAUAAGCGGAGGA
rnacentral:misc_RNA from 1 species